rnacentral:ribozyme from 2 species
AGUGGAUUGCGCCACUUUAAAAAGGUUUUAAGCGUAAAGCGUUGCAAGGUUUUGAGCCUUGCAGGUAACA